AUUAAACGCUGGCGGCAUGCCUUACACAUGCAAGUCGAACGGCAGCACGGGGGCAACCCUGGUGGCGAGUGGCGGACGGGUGAGUAAUGCAUCGGAACGUGCCCUGAAGUGGGGGGAUAACGCAGCGAAAGCUACGCUAAUACCGCAUAUUCUGUGAGCAGGAAAGCAGGGGAUCGCAAGACCUUGCGCUUUGGGAGCGGCCGAUGUCGGAUUAGCUAGUUGGUGGGGUAAAGGCCUACCAAGGCGACGAUCCGUAGCGGGUCUGAGAGGAUGAUCCGCCACACUGGGACUGAGACACGGCCCAGACUCCUACGGGAGGCAGCAGUGGGGAAUUUUGGACAAUGGGGGGCAACCCGUGAUCCAGCCAUUCCGCGUGAGUGAAGAAGGCCUCGGUUGUAAGACGUCUUUCUAGCAGGAACGGAAACGGUAGGCCGA
rnacentral:rRNA from 1 species